AAGAGGAAGAAGUAACCAAGUUCUGUGUAAUGAAGCUCCCUUGAUGUUGAAGACAAUAAUAAUAAUGUAUUGAUACAUCACGUGUACCAAAAUGAGAAAGAGAAAGAGAAAAAGAAAAAACAGAAGUAACAGAAAGUAUAAAUGGAAAAGGACAAGGAUAGGGAAAGAUCUGGUUCUUUGAAGAUGUUCCAUCUUAGGAGUGAUAAGAAUCUAAGGUGAUCCAAACACUUGGUGACAAAUCUGUUGCAGAAGAUGAAAAAGAAAUUGCAGUUUUUAUGUGGAAUGGAAAAAGAAAUUGCAUACCCUAGAGUCAUCAUAGGUUCCAGCAAACAGGAAAAGGGUGUGGUUGUUAUCCACCUUCAUCUCCCUCUUACCCUCUUUAUUAAAGUCCUUAUAUGUACCCUAAUCUCUUCAAACUCAUAUCCUAACCUUAAGAGAGUUUAAAAAGGUUGGAAAAAGACAUGGUCUUCCACCUAAAGUAUUUUCAAAGCUACCUACACUUGAUGCCAAAUUCCCAACUUUAAAGCUGCUUGGUUGUUUUGCAAGUAGAAAACAGUAGCCUAUGCAACUAAGAGGGACCCUUUUUGUCCUUUUGGUUGUGAACUUUAGAUUUUGGAGCACACUUUCUUUCCUUUUAUUGUAUAUAUGCUCCUCACUUAAUUCCUCCACCUAGCUUGGAUCGCUUUCAGAUCACAUCCUGCACAAUCUUCACUCAAGAUCAACGGGUACCUUCUGCUUAAUUGCAUCUUACAUUUCUUAGCAUAUCUGUGCAUAUACAUAUCAUCAUCAUCAUCAUCAUCGUCAUCUUCCAUCUUCUGCAUGUUGCUCAAGGAAGUAACCUUUGUUGUGUUGUGUGCCUGGCUCCCUGUAUGCCAUUUGUUGACCCCAUCACAAUGGUCAUGGCCUUACCAAAUGGCGUAUGAGGAGUCAUGCAUGCUGUAUUGCUCCUCCAAUGAAUCCAAGCUAAAUGGUUGGAUUUGAAUUGGAAUUUGUCUUCUGCAAAACCAAGGUCAUGUUUACUUGAGAUUUCAAUCUUUUUUGGUAUCUGUUAUUUGUUUACUUCUCACUUCUGAGAAGGGAUGGGAAGCUGGAUUGGUUGCCCAUAGGUCUCUGGCUCAGAUCUUGUUCAUCAUUUGCUGUGCAAAUCAACAAUAAUUAUGUUCCAUUGAAUUAGUUUGUUCAAUUUAGGUUCCUGGUCCAAGAUGGCAUUGACUUGGUUUUAUUCUAUUGGUUGGUUUCUUAGGUACACCAGGCAAAGAAAUUUAGGAUUGCUGGUAAGAAAUUGUUAAAAUGCUUUUUAAUCUAUAUUUAUUAGUUAUUUUCAAAUUAUACUUCAUUUUCUAUUUUCAAAAACUAUAUAGCAAACUACCAAAAUAUCAAUGCUCUUUUUACUAUCUUAGAUUUUUUUUUAUAGCAUCUUCAAGUCUUUCAAUUAGUGACGAGUUAGAAAAAGGUGAUUUUUUUUUAUAUUUACUGAUAAAACCAUAUCAAAGGAAAAUGAAAUAGAUUCUUAAAAGAGCAGAAAUAAAUAUUUUGAUUUUUGUUUUGAUAUUCCUUCGUUUCUUAUAUGUUUAGUGACUAAUUUGACUUGGGCAUGUUAUAGGAAGAGGUGAGAAUAAAAGAGAGUGAACUCAUAUUUUAUUGCCUUGAAAAUGUCAAAUACAAUAAGGUAUUUAUAACUGUAAAAAAAUCAUUGAACUUCUUAGAAGUGAAUUCUCCUUAUGGAUGGGAUCCAAAGCUAUAAUUUUAAAGUUAUUAUUUUUUCAACUAAGCCUUAAAGUUCUCAACAAAAACUUUUAACUUUUGAUUGAGAAAAUAUACCUAUGUUUUUCUACUGAAAUCAUCAAUGAAAAAGUAAGAAAUGCAUAUUUUUGCUAAAUCAAUGUGGAUUGAUUGGAUCACAUAUAUUGUUAUGUAAGUUAAAGUGGUUUGGUUACUCUUGAUGCAACUACUUUCAUAAAACUUCUUCUUGCAUGCUUUCCAAGAAGACAUGUUUCACACAAUUGAUUAGGAUUGUUGAUUGGAGGCAUCCAUUUACCAUCUCUAUUUCUCCCAAUCUUUUAAGGGCUCCAAAGUUUAAGUGUCCAAACUCUUCUUCUCACCUUAAAACACUUUACUUCAAUAGUUUUUAGAUUCAAGAUAAUUAUGUUUCUUGACAUAAGCACCUUAGCAAUCAAAUUUUAAUUUUGAUCUUCAAGCCACAAAUAUUUAUCUUUCAUGAGAAUCUCAUAUCCUUUUUCAACUUAUGACUUUCAUCUUUGGUGGAAAAGAUUAGAAUUGUACAUAUUCCUUCAAUUUGAACCUUCAAUGAGUCUUUGAAAUACAUAUUUUCUUUCACAUUCUCAUUAAGUUCCAAAAAAUUUCUCCUUGUAUCCACACAUAUGAUUGUUAAAAUCAUUGUCUAAGUACCACAAAUAACUUUAAACCCUAAACCCUAAACAAUUGACAUCCUUAUUUUCACCUUUUAGUUUUAAUAACAAAGUUGACUCUUCUUUUCAUUAACAAGAUUAACUUUUUCUUCCAUGUCAUUAAGACGACAUUUCGAAGAAAAAUGAUCAAGUUUGUGCAAUUGUAGCAAUCUACUUUAAAUUUCUCAUACCUUCUUUCAUUUUAAAAACAAUUAUGACCUCUUCCUAUUGCUCUUUCAUGGGCUCUUGAUGAUAAAUAACUUCUUUUCUCAUUGUUUGAAUAGUCGUUUCUAUGUAUUUUUCCUUCUUGUCCAUGACUAUGUCCUCUUCCUUGUCCACGUCCUUAUUCACUCCUAAAUCAUCCAUUAUUCUUUAAAGAAGCUUGAACUUUGAAGGUUUGCUCCAAUGACUGUUCUUGUCUCUUCAUUCUUUCUUCAUUAAAGAAGCUUUCUUCAUUCUUCCAUCACACAUACCACAUAAUUGAACGUUGGAGUCAAGAAACGAACAAUCUUCUCUGCCAUACGAACAUCUUCUAUUUUAUCUUCAUAUUUCUUUGAUUGAUUAACAAUUAUCUUUACUCUUGAGAAAUAAUUCGAAAUUGAUUCAGAUUGCUUCAUCUUCAUAGCUUCAAAGUCAUUCAUUAGUGAUUGGAGUCUUAUCUUAUUCACUUCGUCGACGUCUUGGAAGGAUUUUUCUAAGAACUCCCAAGCGACCUUUGACAUCAUAGUGUAGGCAACCUUCUCGAACAACGGUCAUCCAAACAUUGGUGGAUGAGAGUAAAAGUUUGUUGAUCCCUUUUUCUUAUUUUUAACAAAGUUUCCAUCUCAUAUUGAGAUAAGUUUUCUUCAUCUUGUGACUCUCCAUACCCUUUUUCUACAAUCUCUAAAACACAUUAAAAGCCUAGCAACAUUUUCGUGGAAAGACACCAUUUUUCAUAAUUUUCUUUUGGUAAGACGAGAAAAUUGAAAGAUAGUAAACACAUCAUUUCUCAUCACUCAACUCUCUAAAUCAAACCAAGUUCUUAAUAUCACUUUGUUAGAGGAAGAGUUGAGAAUAAAAUAGAGUGAACUCAAGUUUCCUUACCUUGAAAAUGUCAAAUACAAUGAGAUAUUUAUAAGUGUUAAUUAAUGAAAAAAAUUUAAAAUCUACUUUAGAAGAAUCUCUAAUUAAAACUUCACUAUAAAUUUCCUACACCCUUCUCUAUUUAAAAAGCUUCCAAAUUUGACUGAUAAAAACUCAAAAGUUACUUUAGAUAUUUCUUUAUUUAAAAUUAUAAAUAAGAAUGCAGUCCUCCUCCAUGAAAGUAAGGGUCAUUAUUAGGUUGAAGUGGACGUAGUUACCAAUCGUUUUCGUUGUUGUGUUGUCAUUUUUGUUGUAACUGAGUGGUUAACGUCUUGGCCUCACUCCCAUUUAUUUAUAUUCACCACAAAUCAAUUCAAAAUCGCCACCAGGCCUUUUAUUAUACACUGUUUCAUUCAUUCAAAAAUAGUAACCAUCAUAUCUACACCGUAAGAAUGUUACAAGCUUUAGCCAACAACUACUUCUUUUUAUAUUCUUUCUUUUCUGUUGCUGCUGAGAUAUGUUCCACACCAGUGAUUGAUUGUCUUUUCCAUGCUUUUCUCACCCCUUUGGACUCCUACAUUAAAAUAGAAAAUAGAAGUUAGUUAAACUUAAAAAAUUAUUAAAUACAAAUUAAUUUUUUUUUAAAAAUAAUUAAGUGUUAUUAUAUAUUCUUCUUAGCUUGUAUUCUUUAAGUGCAGUGAUCCAAAAUCAGUAGAGACAAAAUAGUGAUAUAUUUUCUACCAUUUUCAUGGACUCAUAAAGAUCUUCUAUUCUUCUAAGCUCAUUCUUUAGAGGAAUUUCAUUGUUCUGAGAUGAAUAGUUUCAUGUCUGUUAUGAACAAGUUCUCCAAGCAUUGGAAACAAAACACUUUCGUCAUUUCUAGAGACAUACAUCGGAAGUUGUCUUUUUCAAAAGCAUCAUUUCCAUUUAUUGCAAUAUUCUCAUUGGUAGGAUUAUAAAGCUUAUAGUUGCUAGAAAUUGAUCUAUAGCUAAUGUACAUACUUUUCAAUUUUGUCAUUUAAAUGUGAUUUCGUCUCUGCAAAACAUGAUUUGUCAUUCUUCCAAAUAUCGCAUAUGAGAAACACUAGGCCUUUUGUUUCUCUUUGGUUAUUAUUGCCUUUUAGCAUGUUCUUACCAUGUUGAGCAUGGAUGUACUCUUGUGUCCCAUAUUUUGUUCUACAAAAUAAGUAACAACAACAAAUGUCAUUAGUUUCAGAAUUUAGAAUAUUGAACUCUAUUGGAAUAUUAUACUAUCAUCCUAUGAGACUCUUCAAAGUAUUGAUGGAAAGUUCACUUUGUUGUUCAACUUGGCUUUGAGCUUUUAAAAACUUUCUUCAAAGUAUUGAUGAAAAGUUCACUUUGUUGUUCAACUUAGACUUUGAACUUUUAAAAAAUUUCAUAUUAAUGAAUGUUGUGAACACAAGUUUUGAUCAAUAAAAAUAAUAUUUUGAUGAGUCUCACAAGAAAUAUUUGUGAAAUCCAUAUUAAAAUAUUCACCAUAAGAAAAUCAUUAAAUAAUAACAAAAUUUAGAGACAAAAAUAAUUAGUCACUAUAUUGACUAAAUUAGAUAUUAUUUUAAAAACUAAAAAAUUAUUAUAUCUAAAGUGGUUUUUAUUAUUAAUAAAAAUUUAUAAAAUGGUUUCUAAAUUGAUAUUCAACCAUUAGUUACCACUAAUAUUUUAGAUUAUAAAUUAGUCUUUAAAAGAUUAAUAGAGACUAAUUUAGAAUAUAAAGUGAAAAAGUAACUAAAACCUUGGUAGUUGAUGGUUAAAUACCAAUUUAAAAACUAUUUUAUAAAUUUUUAUUAAUAAUAUACUACAUUAAUAAUUUUUUUAGUUUAUAAAAUAAUCUCUAAUUUAGUCAAAUAAUAACUAAUUAUCUUAGUCUCUAAAUUUAUUUUUUAUUUAAUAACUUUAUAUGUAGUGAUUGUUUUUAUCAAUAAUAAACUUAUAUAAGAUUAUCUCUUUAGAUAUGUUAUUAUUGAAACCUUCUUUGUCAAAUUAUGUGUGUUGUCUUUACUUAGUGUAAAUGAUUAUAGAAAUAUUGGACCAUAUUUUUAUUCUCGUAUUUUUCUUUCUUUUUUCAAGACUAAGAGGCCAUAAUUUUCAUGUUUCUACACUUAAUUUUGUAAAUAAUUCAUGACUUACACUCAAAAUCUAAUUCAAAUCAACUAUCAAAUCAACUAUCACACUACAAGAAAAUCAUUAAAUAAUAAUUAAUUUUAUAAUUUAAAAAAUAAAAAAUAAUUAACUACUAUAUUAAUUAAAUUAGAUAUUAUUUUAUAAAUUAAAAAAUUAUUCAUAUCUAAAAUAUUUUUUAUUAUUAAUAAAAUUUUAUAAAAUAAUUUAUAAAUUGUUAUCUAACAUUAAUUAACAACUAAUCUAAAUUAGUUACAAUAAUUACUAACAUCUCAAAUUUGUUCCUCUCCAUAAAUAAACUUGACAUUUUUUUGCAUUUAUUUUUCAAAUCACCUAACUUGGGCUUUGACUUCGCCAUAACAAGCGCCUCAUCUACUUUCUACUUCUCUGUCUUUGUAGAAGCCAAGUACUCAUUUUGAAUAAAGUCUUGUUGGAAGGGUACAAUAGCCAUUAUAUAUGGAAAAAAAAAGAAAAAUGUUGUAAACAUGAUAAAAUGACAAAGAAAACAACUCAUAUUGUCCAAAAUAAUACAGAAAUAAGUAUAAUAGGAUCUCGUGGGUGCUGAGUUUCCGAUUAUCAUGAAUCACAAUGGCCAUUUAUAAAAAAAAUAAAUUAUGUAUUGAAGCGUGUCCCUAUACUCACGGUUAGACUGGGCUAUUUCGAGCUCAAAUUCGAGAGAUAACAUCGGUGUGGUCAAUCACCGCAUUCGAAAUAUUGUCCGUUUUUUAGGUUGGUCAAGCUCUUGCUUACUCUAACCUAGAGAACACUAAACUCUAACUCAAUUUGAUCAUGAGAGGGUCAAGCCCUAACUAGAGAAAAAAAACAUUGGUUAAAGGCUUGUGAAGGCUUGGCCCUCGCUAAGCCCAUGCAAAAAAUAAAUAAAAAGUUGUACGUCAUACUUAGAAUCUCAUUACCACAUUCAGGAUAACCUUCCUAAUCCUAUUAUAUCAUUCAUUUCUAGCCACAAUGCAACGAGAAACAUUCACCAACGCUAAUGGAAACCUUCAACAGAGAACCUACAACCCAAAAAUGAGAUCGAAAAUGAAAAUGGAAUAGCUACUCACCACCAUUGUCGCAAGAAGAAAAAGUACAGCUACCAACACUAAUGGAUCCAGCCACGACACAAUGAGGAACCUUCACCAAUGCCUAUGGAAACCUUCAACAAAGAAUCCACAACCCAAGAAUGAUAUCGAAAAUGAAAAUGGGCAAGCUACUCACCACCACCACCACGAGAAGAAAAAGUCCACCCACUAGCACUAAUGGAUCCAACCACUUUGCAAUGGGGAACCUUCACCAACGUCAAUGUUAACCUUCAAUAAAGAUACAACAAUCCAAGAAUGAGAUCGAAAUGAAAAUGAAGACAACAUAGAGAUUUUGCAUUUUCAAAACGAAAGUCAAGUUACAAACCUUAUUCUCCUUAACGUCAACUCAGAUCUACAAAAUUAACCUCACUCAUGGUGAACCAAUACGAUUAAUAAAAACAAACAAAACGAAAAAAAAUAAAAUCUUGCACCUUGAUUAGGCACCAAACCUUCCAAGCUCUCCUUUCCACCUUUAUCAGAUUAGAAAGAUACUACCGGGAGUUGGAAGCUCUCCUCUCUACCAGUUUGAAGAUCUCCUCCCUACUAGUUGGAAGCUACGCACAGUGAAAAACACUAAAGAACCUCCAAAGAACAUAGACGCACAUUGAAGAGGGAAAAUGAAAAUGAAGAGCACUUAUUGAAAUGAGAGAGAGUGAGAGAAUGAAAUUGACUGAAAAUGCAAACUGAUUAGUGAGAAAAGGUAAAGCUAGCGUGUAUAGGAAAAAAAUUAAAGAUCACAUAAUGUUGUAGGUGACACUACUUAAGUCACCUAGCGAGGACCAAACCCUUACUCACACCUACCUUUGAGACAACCAAGCCCACGAUGUACCCUAGCAAAGUCUUACACACAGAUCAAACCCUAACUUUCCCUCCUUCGAGAUAGCAACGACCUGGCCCUAGUUUAUGGCUUCCACGUCUUGAAUGUUGUGAGGGUCAUGCUCCAACUUUUCCUCUAUUUAAGCUAGCAUCCUCUCGGCCCUAGCUUCUCUAUUCAACACUUAGCAAUUUGCGUCCUUGUAUAGUGUGCUUAACCAACUCUACAUGAUAUUAGUAUUUAGUGUCUAGUUAGAGUGGUUAUAACUAACUCUAUCAAUAUAUGUUUUCUAGCCAACGCUAUUUUUUGGACUCUAAUAUAAUAUAUUAUUGUAGUGUACCUCGUAAGGUUAUGAGUCAAAUAAUAGGAGAACUUAAUUAGUUGGAACAAGUCAGGACGAGCAUGGUAUCUGAUAUGUGUGACAUGUGUGUGCAGUGAAGUUGCAGAAAGGAUGGAAGCAUACACAGGUUCUAUAAGGAUUAGUUACCAAUUACCACAUUAAUGGAUGAGAAGUUUGUUUGGUGCAAAUUAUAGUGUUGCGAGAGGGUCUCGCAUUCUAGUUGUGGUGUUACAAGGCAACAGGACCAGUUAUUAGAUGAUACAUUUUGUCUUGGAGAAUUGAUGGGUGUUUAAGGUUUUGUUUUCUUAUAUUUAUGGUGAAUUGUAAGUUUAGAAACUUCUUUUUUUAGUUGUCUUGGUUGGUGGUUUUAAAUAAGUUUUGAGAGUUUUUAAUCUAUCUUUUUAUAUUUAGAUUAAAAUAUUUCUUAAAUAUUUAUUUUUAUUUAUUAUUCUUUGUUAAUUAAAAGUAUGAGAAUUUAAUUUAUUAUCACCAUAAAUAAAAUGAUUGUCAU
rnacentral:lncRNA from 1 species